UGGAGGAUCAAAAAGAACAGGCUGAAGUCCUUUGGACUUUUGGAGACUUUAGAGAAUACAGUCACACUGCUGCUGAGAAAUCUGGACUGUACUGUGGAUGACGGACCUGUAGGAAGCGUUCCUGAGAUUUGGGACUGUCCUCACUGCACAGGUCAUGAUGAAGAACGGACGCUCAAAAGGCUUCGGGUAUGUGACGUUUUCAUGUCCUGAUGAGGCUCGAGUAGACAUCGUGGAGAUGAACGGCAGGGUGCUGGGCAGCAGGACUGUGUACUUAAGUCC